rnacentral:rRNA from 1 species
CCUACGGGUGGCAGCAGUGAGGAAUAUUGGUCAAUGGACGAGAGUCUGAACCAGCCAAGUAGCGUGACGGAUGACUGCCCUAUGGGUUGUAAACUUCUUUUAUAUGGGAAUAAAAUGUUCCACGUGUGGGAUUUUGUAUGUACCAUAUGAAUAAGGAUCGGCUAACUCCGUGCCAGCAGCCGCGGUAAUACGGAGGAUCCGAGCGUUAUCCGGAUUUAUUGGGUUUAAAGGGAGCGUAGGUGGAUUUUUAAGUCAGUUGUGAAAGUUUGCGGCUCAACCGUAAAAUUGCAGUUGAAACUGGCAGUCUUGAGUACAGUAGAGGUGGGCGGAAUUCGUGGUGUAGCGGUGAAAUGCUUAGAUAUCACGAAGAACUCCGAUUGCGAAGGCAGUUCACUGGACUGCAACUGACACUGAGGCUCGAAAGUGUGGGUAUCAAACAGGAUUAGAUACCCUUGUAGUC